rnacentral:lncRNA from 1 species
GAGAGACCCACCGUGAGCCCAAGCUACCGUUUGGCACAUGCUCUGGCCAUGAGGAGGAGGGAGGUAAAUCUGCCUCCAUGUGGUGGUGAGGUUGACCCCACAGCUCUAGACACAAGCCAUCCAUCCCUAGAGGAACUGAGAACACCGGCUGUCCGUCAGUAGUUCAGGCAAUCCCCCAGGCUCCUUUUGGAUAUGUUUUGGCCAAGUGUACAGAGGUGAACCAAUCCAGACUGAGUUCCAAGCUAGCAGGGGGCCUCAUCUCCAUCUGGGUUUCCAACAGAGCUGGAUGGGGACAUGAACUUGGGGAAGACUUGUUAGUAAGUGAAUUCUGGAACUUUCCUCUGCCAAGGAUCCACUGUGCGCUCCAGGCUCCUCUGUCCAUGGGAUUUCCCAGGCAAGAAUACUGGAGUGGGUUGCCAUUCUCUUCUCCAGGGGAUCUUCCUGACCCAGGAAUCAAACCAGCAUCUCCCGCAUUGGCAGGCAGAUUCCUUACCACUAGCACCAUCAGGAGGUCUCCUUCUAGGCCCAGCUCAACUGCUACCUUCAGAGAAUUCUGAUGCCCACAUGGCUGGUCUGCAUCUGCCUCUGCCAUGACCUAACUUGCAGCAUCACCAGUGUGCGUUUCUGCCCAGCCACAUUUCCUGGUUCAGAAGCAGAGCAGAGAAAUGGCUCUAAUACAUGUGUACGGCCCUGGGCAAAUCAUGGAGGUGUCCAGACAAGACUGAGCAGGUGUUCCCAACAGGAGCUCCCACCCUACUCCACAGGCGGCUCCA